GUAAAAUAAAAACGGAACCUCCCACAAAUCACCGGAGAGAGGCCGAAUAAGAAGCGACUGAUUGGGCUGGCGUACAAACUAGAGAACCUGCCACAAAUCCCAUCUCUUGGGUCUGACCUUUGCGCUCGAUGGCGCGGGGGGAGACGGAGUCGGCGGACAACAUUUCAGCGCCGGCGGAGAACGCGGCGGAGACGGUGGCGGUGAAGGGGAAGGGAAAGCGAAAGGGCAAGGGCAAGAGGAAGGGGACGAAGACGAAAGAUCUAGGACAUCUGGGUAGACUUCAGUGAGGGUGACAUAGCAAAAUCAGUUAGUGCUCCUGCCCUGUCCUUCUGAUUGAUUUUUCCUUGUUGUUUGGCUGAAAGAAUUUAAACAUAUUGAGAACACAAGCAGCGCCAUUGACCCUGCUACUGGUGUAGAUGAAGAUCUUGCUAUGAUGAUCCGGAAGUACAUCGUUCCUGGGCAGCAACUAGCUGUUGGAAAGCUUGAAUAUAAAAGUAUAAUUGAAGACAAGUUGGAAAUAUCCUGCCUAUAUGAUGAUGCUGUCAUGGAGUUGAUGUGGGGCCUGAAGAACAGCAUCCAGUAUUUGGUGCCUUCAGAAAAGUUGGAGCUGACUAAGGAUGAUCGCCUCCGUAUGAGUAAAGGAAUGAAAGUCGUCCUUGAAUAUUUUGACUUAAAAGUCGAACCAGAGAUGGUUAGUACAUCGCUUCCCUCCUGUUGUGCACCGCUUUCUGCUUUAGUGCUCGCUGUAAUAUCUUGUUACACUCAGAGCCCUUAAAGGUGACCAAAGUGAUGCAAUAUUUUUCCAAUAUUUUUGUCUUGAGGUUUUCUCCUUCUGGCGAUAUAGAAAUGAUCCUUAUUUCCAGGUUAAUGAGUAUAUUAUUGAGACAGCAGGUGCUGUGUAUAGUUGUGAUCAUUGUGUGAACAAAAAUGCUAAGAACUUGAGGGCUGCUGGUGAGCACCUAAAGAAGAUUUCAAACAUUGACUCUCAGAAUUGGUGUUUAAUUAAACUAGCGACUGCUCUCAAGAUAAUAUGUUACCCUGGAGAGGAACUUCCUGGCAUUCCUCUCGAGGUAAAUUAUACUAAUAUUUUGCAAAACUUUUUUUGGCUUGUUUCUGUACAUUUUUAAGAAACUUGUUAUUCAAUUAAUGGGUCGAAAGUGUUAUUAUCUUGCAAGUUUUCUCAGCAGAGGAGUAUUCCAAGUUGAUGGAGGAUGGACCUCGAUACGAAGGUAAACUAUUGAAGGUGGCUUGCAAGAUUGUCUUCCAGGAAAUGGUGUGGGCCCGUCGCCUUAGAAAUAGGAUGUUAAGACUCUUGGCCCAUUACAUGAGGGAGGCAAGAAAAGCAUAUGAAGCUGACCAAGCUUCGAUGAGCAGCUAUUGAUCCGACAAAAAGGUAUUGGGUGUGUUUUUAGCAGGCGUUCUGUGGCGGGCGGCCUGCAUCUUCAGCCCUGGGUGUUGGACAUCGCCAUAGGCCUGCUUUAAAUCUUUCAACCUCCAUGUCGCUGCACCUAUCCCGAUUGUUGAGAUUUGGUGAGGGACCUGCCCUUACUCAUGCACACUAACAAAUCAGGAAAGGUUUAAUUUUCUGGUUAUACUAGGUUGCUGGAGGCUCUGGAAGCAAACGUAAUGUUUAUGAGCACUUCUGAUAAUUUCCUUGGUUUGUCUCG